rnacentral:rRNA from 1 species
CCUCAAGAUGAGAUUUCCCAUAGCGUAAGCUAGUAAGACCCCUUGAAGACGACAAGGUUGAUAGGUCAGAGGUGGAAGCAUGGUAACAUGUGUAGCUGACUGAUACUAAUAGGUCGAGGGCUUGACCUA